rnacentral:rRNA from 1 species
CGCGGCCUAUCAGCUUGUUGGUGGGGUAAUGGCCUACCAAGGCUUCGACGGGUAGCUGGUCUGAGAGGACGAUCAGCCACACUGGGACUGAGACACGGCCCAGACUCCUACGGGAGGCAGCAGUGGGGAAUCUUGCGCAAUGGGCGAAAGCCUGACGCAGCAACGCCGCGUGGGGGAUGAAGGCUCUCGGGUUGUAAACCCCUUUCAGCAGGGACGAAAUUGACGGUACCUGUAGAAGAAGCCCCGGCCAACUACGUGCCAGCAGCCGCGGUAACACGUAGGGGGCGAGCGUUGUCCGGAAUUAUUGGGCGUAAAGGGCUCGUAGGCGGUUCGGUAAGUCAGAUGUGAAAGGUUGGGGCUCAACCCUAAGACUGCAUUUGAUACUGCCGUGACUAGAGUCCGGUAGAGGAGUGUGGAAUUCCUGGUGUAGCGGUGAAAUGCGCAGAUAUCAGGAGGAACACCGACGGCGAAGGCAGCACUCUGGGCCGGUACUGACGCUGAGGAGCGAAAGCGUGGGUAGCAAACAGGAUUAGAUACCCUGGUAGUCCACGCCGUAAACGUUGGGCACUAGGUGUGGGACCUUAUCAACGGGUUCCGUGCCGUAGCUAACGCAUUAAGUGCCCCGCCUGGGGAGUACGG